CACUACAACACCAUCCUAAAAAAGAUCAAGAUCAUCAAUAAUCUUACAUACAUUGACGAACGUGCUCUACCGAUCAUGGCUGGAUCAGGAAUUACAAGAAGUGAAUCAAACGCAAACCUGAUUAGAUUUGUUAUUCCUUAUGCGAAAACCGUAACAUUCCAGACCUCAUUUUUUAUAAGAACUUGCAAAACGUGGAACAUAUUAAAUAGUAACUUGCGUACUAGAGAUAUAGGUUUGCUGUCUUUUAAAUCAGGUCUUAAAACUCUACUACAAACAUGCACUAUCCAAAACUUUCAAAUGUGUCGAUCCGCGCACCUGGAAAUCAGUGUGUGUAAAGUGCAAAAGAGCAAGAUCGC